rnacentral:rRNA from 1 species
UACCUUGUUACGACUUCACCCCAGUCAUGAAUCACACCGUGGUAACCGUCCUCCCGAAGGUUAGACUAGCUACUUCUGGUGCAACCCACUCCCAUGGUGUGACGGGCGGUGUGUACAAGGCCCGGGAACGUAUUCACCGCGACAUUCUGAUUCGCGAUUACUAGCGAUUCCGACUUCACGCAGUCGAGUUGCAGACUGCGAUCCGGACUACGAUCGGUUUUGUGGGGUUAGCUCCACCUCGCGGCUUGGCAACCCUCUGUACCGACCAUUGUAGCACGUGUGUAGCCCAGGCCGUAAGGGCCAUGAUGACUUGACGCCAUCCCCACCUUCCUCCGGUUUGUCACCGGCAGUCUCCUUAGAGUGCCCACCAUAACGUGCUGGUAACUAAGGACAAGAGUUGCGCUCGUUACGGGACUUAACCCAACAUCUCACGACACGAGCUGACGACAGCCAUGCAGCACCUGUCUCAAUGUUCCCGAAGGCACCAAUCCAUCUCUGGAAAGUUCAUUGGAUGUCAAGGCCUGGUAAGGUUCUUCGCGUUGCUUCGAAUUAAACCACAUGCUCCACCGCUUGUGCGGGCCCCCGUCAAUUCAUUUGAGUUUUAACCUUGCGGCCGUACUCCCCAGGCGGUCAACUUAAUGCGUUAGCUGCGCCACUAAGAGCUCAAGGCUCCCAACGGCUAGUUGACAUCGUUUACGGCGUGGACUACCAGGGUAUCUAAUCCUGUUUGCUCCCAACGCUUUUCGCACCUCACUGUCAGUAUCAGUCCAGGUGGUCGCCUUUCCCACUGGUGUUCCUUCCUAUAUCUACGCAUUCCACCGCUACCAGGAAAUUCCACCACCUCUACCACACUCUAC